AACGUAGGAGACAAACGUUAUCCGGAGUUACUGGGCGUAAAGGGCGCGUAGGCGGCCACCGCAAGUCGACUGUGAAAUCUCCGGGCUUAACUCGGAAAGGUCAGCCGAUACUGCGGGGCUAGAGUGCAGAAGGGGCAACUGGAAUUCUCGGUGUAGCGGUGAAAUGCGUAGAUAUCGAGAGGAACACCUGCGGCGAAGGCGGGUUGCUGGGCUGACACUGACGCUGAUGUGCGAAAGCUAGGGGAGCGAACGGG
rnacentral:rRNA from 1 species